UUUGCCCAUUAUACAAUGGUGUAAAAUUAUGUUGUACCAAAUUUAGGAUGACCUGUAUUUCUCCCAUAUAUAUUUUUCUAAAUCCAAAAGCUUAGAAUAGAGAUAAUAAAAACCAAAGAGUUAAAGUGUUAAAAUAGUAAGCCUGAGGGCUAAAUUACAAAGUCCAAAUAGUCUGAUGGUUCGAUUCACUUUUCUGCAGAUAACAGAAAAUGGAAGGACGAAUCUGAAGAACGGAAAAGAGAUAAGGUUUCUAUCCCUUCGUGUGUGAGUGUAUGGAUUGCAAUCGAUCUGAUUGAAUCCUUUGCUCCAAUUCAACGCAGAGACCAUCGCCUUGGAUCUGGUCGCCUCACACGCUGGACGGCGCCGCGCUGGAGUCGCCGCCACGCCUUGCUGCUAUGGGUUGGUCAUGGCCCUCGCCACCAGCACAGGUGUUGGUCGUGCGCCCACUUCCCGUAGCCGCUGAUGCUGGAGGGCGUCGUCAAGCCAGGCCACCGCCGCAGUCAGACAUGCCGAGGGAGGCCCGGUGCUUCCGCCGCACCUAGGCGGCACGCCGCCGCGAGGAGCCUUUCCGGGAGGAGCAGCGGUGCGGGCGGGUCGCCUCUGCGCCCGUGGGGGCUAGGCCGAUGGCCGAGCGCGGGGCGCAGGGCAUGCCAGGAGGAGUGGCCGCGCCUGGUGCUCGUCGUCCGGGCGCCAGAGGGCAAAGCCAAGGGCGUUAGUCUGCCCAUUGGACGUCGAUGAGACGCCUCGCUAAUGGAAGCAGGCGAGGCCGCUUGUUAGUUGAGCGCUGGAUGAGUUGCCGUCUCGAUGGGCAACGAUGAAAACAAGUACUCCAAUGCAUGUCUGUGAGGAGAUCGGCCUUGCUCCUAGCCGAGGACCGCUCCGGGAUGCAGGGCGUCUGAAACCGCGCUGGGAACAACAGUCGUCGAUGCGCCUCCGCGAACGGCGGGGAAACUGACUUCUAUCAGCGCGUCAUGCAGGAAAAUUCGAAGAGUUUACAAGCAACUCAGGUUAUUUGUCCGUGUGUGCAAGCAACUCAGGUUGGAUCGGACAAUGGGGCACCUUUUUCCCGGGAAGCUUCAUUUUCGCAAGUGCACUGUGGUCCAAAAUAGGAAGAUAUAGUCAGUGCAGCUGCACUACAAUCUACUCCAAUGAAGCUGUGUAUAUCACUCCACUCUUAAAUGCAACCGAUAUAGGGCAUCUCCAACAUCGGCCCGUAAAUUUCCUCCGA